GAGUGUAACCUUCUUUUUGUGGCCGACCUAAACUCCGAAGACGCGUGGAGAAGCCAGAAGAAGACGCGAGUUUGAGCGUGGGAGCUUUGUA
rnacentral:ribozyme from 1 species